rnacentral:lncRNA from 1 species
AUAAUUUCUAGUUUCUAAUUUUGAUUUUUUAUAUUUUUUAUUUUGUCAUUUGAUAUUUUUUGUGAAUUUUCUCUUUUCUGGUUAUUUUUAAUUCAUUUUAAAUAGUUUUUGAUAUUCAAAAAAUACAAAAACAUUUUCCUAACCUAUUUGAAUAAUGAUGAAUCUAUGAAAAAUAUUCUCAUCAAUUUUUUAAUUGAUUUGAGAUUU